rnacentral:rRNA from 1 species
CUGGAUCCCCCUCAGCCGUGCAUUGCUGUACGGCGCGUGCGGCUAGGGCCCAGCGUUGCUGAAUUAUUCACCCGUGUCUUUUGCGUACUUCUUGUUUCCUGGGUGGGUUCGCCCACCACCAGGACCAACCACCCAACCUUUUGUAAUUGCAAUCAGCGUCAGUAACCCACAUAAUAAUUACAACUUUCAACAACGGAUCUCUUGGUUCUGGCAUCGAUGAAGAACGCAGCGAAAUGCGAUAAGUAGUGUGAAUUGCAGAAUUCAGUGAAUCAUCGAAUCUUUGAACGCACAUUGCGCCCUUUGGUAUUCCAAAGGGCAUGCCUGUUCGAGCGUCAUUUGUACCCUCAAGCUUUGCUUGGUGUUGGGCGUCUUGUCUCUAGUUCGCUGGGGACUCGCCUUAAAGUCAUUGGCAGCCGGCCUACUGGUUUCGGAGCGCAGCACAAGUCGCGCUCUUUUCCAGCCAAGGUCAGCGUCCACCAAGCCCACAUUUUCAACUUUUGACCUCGGAUCAGGUAGGGAUACCCGCUGAACUUAAGCAUAUCAAUAAGCGGAGGAAAAGAAACCAACAGGGAUUGCCCUAGUAACGGCGAGUGAAGCGGCAACAGCUCAAAUUUGAAAUCUGGCUCUUGUAGAGUCCGAGUUGUAAUUUGCAGAGGGCGCUUUGGCUUUGGCAGCGGUCCAAGUUCCUUGGAACAGGACGUCACAGAGGGUGAGAAUCCCGUACGUGGUCGCUGGCUAUUGCCGUGUAAAGCCCCUUCGACGAGUCGAGUUGUUUGGGAAUGCAGCUCUAAAUGGGAGGUACAUUUCUUCUAAAGCUAAAUAUUGGCCAGAGACCGAUAGCGCACAAGUAGAGUGAUCG